AAUUUCCAAAAUGUGGAAAUCUCGAUUGAAUAAUUUCUGGUAGUGGGGGACUGCGUUCGCGCUCUCCCCUG
rnacentral:snRNA from 8 species